rnacentral:sRNA from 1 species
AAUUAUUAAUAAAAUUAAAUAAAAUCAGUAAAAAUUGGUACGUUUAUUUUAUAUACAAUUUAAGGAAAAUUUAAUUAUUUUGAAUAACAAUUAGGUUUUAUUAUGUUAUCCAUAUUAGGAAAAGGGGAUGAGAAAGGAAUAGUACAUUUAACCAAUUAACUUUUGGCAUACAGUAGAUUCAUAUUUCAUUUCAAUUCUAAUUGAAAACACUGAACAAUUUUGGCGUAAUUUUAGAUUUCACAAUUUAUGGAAAGAUGUAAGAUAACUUCCUUCUUAUUAUCUUGUUAGUUUUAAAGCUUGUCAAUAAGGUUUUCGCCAUACUGUCUGAUUACACAACGAUUUUCAACUAAUUGUUUUGCAAACAUUUCAGUGGUUUUUGCAAACGAAAAAAACUCCAAAUCUUUAUCAGCUUAUUUUACACAAAUGAAACUGAAUAACAACGAUUUCAACAACACACAAGAAAGCUUAAAACAUACAAGAAAUCUCUCAUGAUUCCCACUUGGUUCUCAACUUAUCAACAUGCUUAAACUCAAAUGUCAACACUAAACUCUUAUCCUUUCUCCUCAAUUCAAAGCUCUCCACCAACACAUAACAUCUAUAACUCUUCCAAUUCGAACCGCCUCCAUUAAAUCUCUCAGAUUUCUUAACCACUGCUCUUUGCGGUUCAAUCUUCCACCCGAAUCUCUCCUCUUCCCAUUUCAUCCUCUCCAUGACCACAGAUCUCAAACCUAUCCUCUUCUCUGCAACCGCAAACCAAAAAACCCCAUUUUCAUCCACCCUUUUUGUAUUUUUCCCAAUUUCUUGUCCCUCAAGCUUCACAACUUCUGGUUCCACUUCAACAUCAACUACAACCUCGCGGUUUUCGUUGUAAGCGUUUUCACAAGAGUAAACCUCCUCCCAUCUUUGUAGAAGAAUCAUGCUGUAAUAAGCUGAGCUCUUAAGCUGAUCCUUUGCAUUUCCUUCCUUCACAAAUAUGAAAGGGACAUACCAUUUUCCUACCACAACGCUUGUAUUAAAAUCACUAGGAAGCUCAGAACGAAUCUCAGUGUAAAUACCUUUUGCAUCAUCUUUUAGACCAAAGUCCUCAGAUGUCGAGUACUCAGCGUUCCAAUACUUUCUCUUAAGAAACUCUGGUGGUUUCCCGUUAGGAGCAACAGAAGUGGCAGUGUAAUAGCGAGAUGAUGAUCGUUUUUGAUGGAUCUGGAAUUGCUGAUAUAUGUCAUUAGGAUCUGCUUCUUGUGGCUUAGCUUCAGGAACAUAGCUGAAACAAAAACAGCAGGGGACUCUGUCUUCCUCUUUCGCAUUAGCCGAAGCUUUUCUACAACACAACAAAUCCUUGUAAAUCACGUCACAAAACAAAGAAAGUUGAAAUUUUGCAUAAUUUUAAGUCAUAACAUACCCUGAGUGUUUCCCGCCUCGUUUAAUGACAUAGUAACGGUUUGAAGAUAAGGGUUGAUCAAGAACAGGAAUGAAAACGACAGGAUCUAUAUAAGUAAUCGUCUGGUUAAGAAAUAUGCGGCUUUCAGAUACAAUCAGGUUCGCGUUCUGUGGGAAAGGUAAGCCUUUGAGUGUAGCCCGGUAGCAAGAUCCGAAGCAACAAGUUGGCCUUGACUCUUCAUCUUGAAUUAUAAGUACGCCGGAGUUUGGACUUUCCGGCAACUCCGAUCUGUUUCUUUGGUAUUCCGACAAACGCCUCGUAACAUACAUUUUUGGUUAUAACCGGCGAAGAUAUUUCAGUGGUUUUUGUGAUUCAUAUGAGUUCUGAUUGGGUCUAUAUAUAUGUAGACUACUAGGAUAAGACAAUUUGUAACCCAAAAAAAAAAAAGAGACUUUUCUAAGAUCUUGACUUGGCUUUUACGGAAGUCUUUUUGUUAUGGCAGUUUCUAUGUACCUCACAUUGUUUUGAAAUUCUGUCACUCAAUUUAAGUGGUCCCUAGAAUUAAAAAGCAAGUUAUCAGCAAUUGAUUC